GACGAACCGUACGAACGUUAUUCGGAAUCACUGGGCUUAAAGGGUGCGUAGGCGGCGCGGUAAGUUGGGUGUGAAAUCCCUCGGCUCAACCGAGGAACUGCGCCCAAAACUACCGUGCUCGAGGGAGAUAGAGGUGAGCGGAACUUAGGGUGGAGCGGUGAAAUGCGUUGAUAUCCUAAGGAACACCGGUGGCGAAAGCGGCUCACUGGAUCUCUUCUGACGCUGAGGCACGAAAGCUAGGGUAGCGAACGGG
rnacentral:rRNA from 1 species